rnacentral:rRNA from 1 species
UACGUAGGGUGCGAGCGUUAAUCGGAAUUACUGGGCGUAAAGCGUGCGCAGGCGGUUUUGUAAGCCAGAUGUGAAAGCCCCGGGCUUAACCUGGGAAUGGCAUUUGAGACUGCAAGGCUUGAGUGCGGCAGAGGAGACUGGAAUUCCUGGUGUAGCAGUGAAAUGCGUAGAUAUCAGGAGGAAUACCGAUGGCGAAGGCGGGUCUCUGGACAGUUCCUGACACUGAGGCACGAAGGCCAGGGAGCAAACGGG